UGAUUAACCCUAGUGGAAAAGGGCAAAGUCGGAAUUGCACAAAAACUUAACAUUAUGAUUCGACUUACAAUCAUAAGUCUGUCAUUUUCAACAAGUCAACAAAAACUGCAUAUCCUUUUUAACCAUGACUUUCAAUAAAAUUGUCCUUAUGGAGGGUUGACUCAAAAGAGAUUAUCCUUCUCACCGAGAAAAACAUGAUUGGUGUCCUUCUCAAAAGUUACUUCCAGAUAUAACUAUUACAUCAUAGAACUAAUUACUCAGAAUCUAGUGGGUGUUCAUUAUCUUUGUACCAAAGGGCUGUCUUCUACAAGGUUCUUUAGCUAACAUCCAAACUCUCUGUCAGACCUACUGCCAUCAGUUUGAGAAGAGAUAUUAGGACAGGUCAGCAUAACUGAAAGUAGCUAGAUGUUCUGUUAUAUUGUAAGGGACAUUUUGUUAAAACUGUAAUGAACCACUCAUAGCCCAAUUCCUUAUUCUUUUCUUCUCAAAAUGAAAAUAUAUCUUUUAAAUUUUCAAAUCC
rnacentral:lncRNA from 1 species